UGUCGGGUCCCAUACAAUAGCGAAUCUUGUGAACCCCGCCAGGUCCGGAAGGAAGCAACGGUAACUUGAAUCUUAUGUGAUAUGGGGCGCCCGACACUU
rnacentral:SRP_RNA from 1 species